GCCAGACUCCUACGGGAGGCAGCAGUGGGGAAUAUUGCACAAUGGGGGAAACCCUGAUGCAGCGACGCCGCGUGAAGGAAGAAGUAUCUCGGUAUGUAAGCUUCUAUCAGCAGGGAAGAAAACAGACGGUACCUGACUAAGAAGCCCCGGCUAAAUACGUGCCAGCAGCCGCGGUAAUACGUAUGGGGCAAGCGUUAUCCGGAUUUACUGGGUGUAAAGGGAGCGUAGGCGGCCUGGCAAGCCUGAUGUGAAAUACCGGGGCCCAACCCCGGGGCUGCAUUGGGAACUGCCAGGCUGGAGUGCCGGAGAGGCAGGCGGAAUUCCUAGUGUAGCGGUGAAAUGCGUAGAUAUUAGGAGGAACACCAGUGGCGAAGGCGGCCUGCUGGACGGUGACUGACGCUGAGGCUCGAAAGCGUGGGGAGCAAACAGGAUUAGAUACCCGUGUA
rnacentral:rRNA from 1 species